rnacentral:rRNA from 1 species
UACAGAGGGUGCGAGCGUUAAUCGGAAUUACUGGGCGUAAAGCGUGCGUAGACGGUUACAUAAGUCGGGUGUGAAAGCCCCGGGCUCAACCUGGGAAUUGUAUUCGAGACUGCGUAGCUAGGGUGCGGAAGAGGGAAGCGGAAUUUCCGGUGUAGCGGUGAAAUGCUUAGAUAUGACAUAGAACACCUAUUGCGAAGGCAGCUUACUACGCAGAUAUUGACGCUCAUGCACGAAAGCGUGGGGAUCAAACAGG